ensembl:snRNA U4 U4 spliceosomal RNA
AGCUUUGCACAGUGGCAGUAUCAUAGCCAAUUAGGUUUAUCCGGGGUGCGAUUAUUGCUAAUUGAAAACAAAACAUAAGCCG